rnacentral:rRNA from 1 species
UACAGAGGGGGCAAGCGUUGUUCGGAAUUACUGGGCGUAAAGGGCGCGUAGGUGGCCUUCUAAGUUGAACGUGAAAUCCCUGGGCUCAACCCAGGAACUGCGUCCAAGACUGGGAGGCUUGAAUCCGGGAGAGGGAUGCGGAAUUCCAGGUGUAGCGGUGAAAUUCGUAGAUAUUCGCAGGAACACCGGUGGGGAAGGCGGGUCUCUGGGCCGAUACUGACGCUGAGGAGCGAAAGCGUGGGGAGCGAACAGG